CAGUAGCCGCGGUAAUACGUAGGGUGCAAGCGUUAAUCGGAAUUACUGGGCGUAAAGCGUGCGCAGGCGGUUCGUUAAGACAGAUGUGAAAUCCCCAGGCUUAACCUGGGAACUGCAUUUGUGACUGGCGGGCUAGAGUAUGGCAGAGGGGGGUAGAAUUCCACGUGUAGCAGUGAAAUGCGUAGAGAUGUGGAGGAAUACCGAUGGCGAAGGCAGCCCUCUGGCCAAUACUGACGCUCAUGCACGAAAGCGUGGGGAGCAAACAGGAUUAGAUACCCGUGUAGUCCCUGUCUCUUAUACA
rnacentral:rRNA from 1 species